UACGUAGGGGGCAAGCGUUGUCCGGAAUCAUUGGGCGUAAAGCGCGUGUAGGCGGUUCGAUAAGUCUGCUGUGAAAGUCCAGGGCUCAACCCUGGGAUGCCGGUGGAUACUGUCGAGCUAGAGUACGGAAGAGGCGAGUGGAAUUCCCGGUGUAGCGGUGAAAUGCGCAGAUAUCGGGAGGAACACCAAUGGCGAAGGCAGCUCGCUGGGACGGUACUGACGCUGAGACGCGAAAGCGUGGGGAGCGAACAGG
rnacentral:rRNA from 1 species